rnacentral:rRNA from 1 species
GACGAACGCUGGCGGCGUGCUUAACACAUGCGAGUCGAACGGAAAGGCCCUUCGGGGUACUCAAGUGGCGAACGGGUGAGUAACACGUGGGUGAUCUGCCCUGCACUUUGGGAUAAGCCUGGGAGACUGGGUCUAAUACCGAAUAGGACCACGCGCUUCAUGGUGUGUGGUGGAAAGCUUUUGCGGUGUGGGAUGGGCCCGCGGCCUAUCAGCUUGUUGGUGGGGUAAUGGCCUACCAAGGCGACGACGGGUAGCCGGCCUGAGAGGGUGACCGGCCACACUGGGACUGAGAUACGGCCCAGACUCCUACGGGAGGCAGCAGUGGGGAAUAUUGCACAAUGGGCGCAAGCCUGAUGCAGCGACGCCGCGUGAGGGAUGACGGCCUUCGGGUUGUAAACCUCUUUCAAUAGGGACGAAGCGCAAGUGACGGUACCUAUAGAAGAAGCACCGGCCAACUACGUG